rnacentral:rRNA from 1 species
UCGAGACGCUGGCGGCGUGCUUAACACAUGCAAGUCGAACGGGAGGAAAAGAGAAGCUUGCUUCUUUUUGAAUCUAGUGGCAAACGGGUGAGUAACACGUAAACAACCUGCCUUCAGGAUGGGGACAACAGACGGAAACGACUGCUAAUACCGAAUGUGUUCCGGAGACCGCAUGAUUUCCGGAAGAAAGGAUGGCCUCUAUUUAUAAGCUAUCGCCUGAAGAGGGGUUUGCGUCUGAUUAGGCAGUUGGUGAGGUAACGGCCCACCAAACCUACGAUCAGUAGCCGGUCUGAGAGGAUGAACGGCCACACUGGAACUGAGACACGGUCCAGACUCCUACGGGAGGCAGCAGUGGGGAAUCUUCCGCAAUGGACGAAAGUCUGACGGAGCAACGCCGCGUGAGUGAUGACGGCCUUCGGGUUGUAAAGCUCUGUGAUCGGGGACGAAUGGCUGGUAUGCUAAUACCAUAUCAGAGUGACGGUACCCGAAUAGCAAGCCACGGCUAACUACGUGCCAGCAGCCGCGGUAAUACGUAGGUGGCAAGCGUUGUCCGGAAUUAUUGGGCGUAAAGCGCGCGCAGGCGGCUUCUUAAGUCCAUCUUAAAAGUGCGGGGCUCAACCCCGUGAGGGAGUGGAAACUAUUUUUCUUGAGUGCAGGAGAGGAAAGCGGAAUUCCUAGUGUAGCGGUGAAAUGCGUAGAUAUUAGGAGGAACACCAGUGGCGAAGGCGGCUUUCUGGACUGUAACUGACACUGAGGCUCGAAAGCCAGGGGAGCGAACGGGAUUAGAUACCCCGGUAGUCCUGGCCGUAAACGAUGGAUACUAGGUGUAGGAGGUAUCGACCCCUUCUGUGCCGGAGUUAACGCAAUAAGUAUCCCGCCUGGGGAGUACGAUCGCAAGAU